rnacentral:rRNA from 1 species
GACGAACGCUGGCGGCGUGCCUAAUACAUGCAAGUCGAACGCUUCUUUCCUCCCGAGUGCUUGCACUCAAUUGGAAAGAGGAGUGGCGGACGGGUGAGUAACACGUGGGUAACCUACCCAUCAGAGGGGGAUAACACUUGGAAACAGGUGCUAAUACCGCAUAACAGUUUAUGCCGCAUGGCAUAAGAGUGAAAGGCGCUUUCGGGUGUCGCUGAUGGAUGGACCCGCGGUGCAUUAGCUAGUUGGUGAGGUAACGGCCCACCAAGGCCACGAUGCAUAGCCGACCUGAGAGGGUGAUCGGCCACACUGGGACUGAGACACGGCCCAGACUCCUACGGGAGGCAGCAGUGGGGAAUCUUCGGCAAUGGGCGAAAGUCUGACCGAGCAACGCCGCGUGAGUGAAGAAGGUUUUCGGAUCGUAAAACUCUGUUGUUAGAGAAGAACAAGGACGUUAGUAACUGAACGUCCCCUGACGGUAUCUAACCAGAAAGCCACGGCUAACUACGUG